rnacentral:rRNA from 1 species
AUUGAACGCUGGCGGCAUGCUUUACACAUGCAAGUCGAACGGUAACAGGGUGCUUGCACCGCUGACGAGUGGCGAACGGGUGAGUAAUGCGUCGGAACGUGCCGAGUAGUGGGGGAUAACGCCGCGAAAGUUGUGCUAAUACCGCAUACGUACUGAGGUAGAAAGGGGGGGACCUUCGGGCCUCACGCUAUUCGAGCGGCCGGCGUCUGUUUAGCUAGUAGGUGAGGUAAAGGCUCACCUAGGCGACGAUCAGUAGCGGGUCUGAGAGGAUGAUCCGCCACACUGGGACUGAGACACGGCCCAGACUCCUACGGGGGGCAGCAGUGGGGAAUUUUGGACAAUGGGCGAAAGCCUGAUCCAGCCAUGCCGCGUGUCUGAAGAAGGCCUUCGGGUUGUAAAGGACUUUUGUCAGGGAGGAAAUCCCUAGUGCUAAUAACACUGGGGGAUGACAGUACCUGAAGAAUAAGCACCGGCUAACUACGUGCCAGCAGCCGCCGUAA